rnacentral:rRNA from 1 species
AAUGACUCUGGCAAAGAAUAUCUCAGCUGUUGCAUCAAUGAAGAACAUAGUGAAAUGUGAUACUUGGUGUGGGUGUAGAAUCCCAUGACCAUCAAGCCUUUGAACGCAAGUUGCACCCUAAGCCAUUAGGCUAAGGGCAUGCCUACCUAGGUGUCAUGCAUCAUUGCCCCUUCCAACCCCCCACUGAUCGAGCUUUAGGUGAGGGGGAGGAAGAUGGCCUCCUAUGAUCUUGUUGGUCAUGGUUGUCUCAAAAGUGAGUCCUCAAUAAGAAUAGUGUUGUGAUUGUCAGUGGUAAAGCUCCUAGCAUGCCUCAUAUCCAGUGACAUGUGCUCAUUGUUCAUCCGAACCCUAUUAGACCAUCGUAUCACUUGGUCGAUGUUCACAUCAUGACACCAUGUUAGGCAGAUCACUCGUUAAGUUUAAGCAUAUCAAUAAGCAGAGGAAGAGAAACUUAUCAAGAUUUCCCUACCUAUCAAGAAACUAGUUUAAGAAUCAGCACCCUAGGUGUUCGAAUUAUAGUCUAAAGAAAUGUCCUCAUUAGUGAACUAGGCCCAAGUUCCUAGAAAAGGGCACUAGAGAGGGUGAAACCCUAUUGUGCCUAGACCCUGUUACACCACAAGGCACUAUCUAUGAGUUAGGUUGUUUAGGAACGCAGCCCCAAUCAGGCAAUAAAUUCCAUCUAAUACUGAAUAUGGGUGAGACACCUACAGGGAACAAGUACCAUGAGGGAAAGAUGAAAAAUAUUUUCAAAAGAUAGUCAAAGAAAGCUGAAAAUCAUCAAGAGAGAAGCAGAUGAGAGCCAAUGAUGCAUCUUUGUUAGAUGUGGAAUAGUGAGAGUCAAUCUACCGAUCAACUUGAGGUGUGGAUCAAUAUGGGUUGUGAUGGUGACCCGAGCCUAGGCUAACGAUCUGCUUGAAAAAAUGUCAUCAUCAAGAUCAUAGAAUGUAGCACUACCAUCUUGGCUCCCUAUCUUGCCCAUCUUGAAACAUAGACCAAAGAGUCUAACAUAUGUGUGAGUCAAUGGGCAAGAAAACCUAUAAGGCACAAGGAAGAUGAUUGGUAAGAUCCCUCACAGGUGUAUGAUCGAUUGAACCUAACUUCUGAGAAAGGUUUUAGUAUAGGCAUGCCUAUCAAGACUCAAAAAAUGGUGAACUAUGAUUGAGCAGAGCAAAAGUAGAGGAAACCGACGUGCAAAUCAUUCAUCUAACUUGGGUAUAGGGGUAAAAGACUAAUCAAACCAUCUGUAGUUAGUUCCUAAUAAAUUUUCUCUUAGGAUAGCUAGAGCCCUUAGUGAGUUAUAUCAAGUAAAGCCAAUGAUUAGAGGUAUUGAGGGUGCAACACCUUCAACCAAUUCUCAAACUUUAAAUAGGCCAUGCCAUAGAAUCAAAAGCUCUAAGUAGGACAUUCUUUUAUGCAAAAUUACCGAUUUGGGAUGAAUUGAAAGCUGGGUUAUCAUGCCUAAUAACACGCUAACCUAGAACCCACAAAAGAUGUUGGUUAAUUAAGAUAGCAAGACUAUAGUCAUGGAAGUCAAAAUCUACUAAGUAGUGUCUAACAACUCUCUUGCCAAAUCAACCAACCACGAAAAUGGAUGGCACUUAAGUGUGCAACCUAUAACAAUCAGUCAAGGCAUGGGCUAAGCCCCAAUGAGUAGGAGGGCAUAGCAGUCAACAUAAAACUUAAGGUAUCAGCUCAAGUGAAGCGAUCGUUGAUGUAGAUCUUAAUGGUAGUAGCAAAUAUUCAAAUGAGAACUUUAAAGGUGAAAGAAGGGAAAGGUUCCAUGUGAAUGGCACUUGCACAUGGGUUAGUUGAUCCCAAGAGAUAAGGGAAGCCCAUCCGAUAGCACAUCUAGCACGAGCUUUGAAAGGGAAUCAAGUUAAAAUUCUUAAACUGGGACACGAUAGCUGGCAACAACAUUAAAGAGUUUGGAUAUGUUAGUAAAGGCCUUAGGAAAAGUUAUAUUUUUUGUUUAAUGGUCUGUCCACCUUGGAAACAGCUUAGCAAAAAAUAGGGUCUAGUGGCCAAAAGAGCACUGUACAUCAUGUGGUGUCUAGUGCACCUUCAGUGACCCUUGAAAAUCUAAAAGACUAAGUGCCAUCUGUGCUCGAUCGUACUUAUAACCAUAUCAAGCCUCCAAGGUGAAUAGCCUCUGGUUGAUCGAACAAUAUAGAAAGAAAGUCAACAAAAUGGAUCCAUAACCUCAAAAAAGGGAUUAGCUCGAAGGGCUAGGCAUGGGAGUCCUAGUCUCAAACUUAUCAGCUAUCGAUGCAUUACUCGAGUUGAUCUAGUAGUAAAAGUAGGUCACCGUAUGUCGGUCAAGGGACGUAUUGGGAAUAACUUCCUCGAGGGCCUUUCACAGGCAAUGAACAAUUGACUCAGAACUACUAUAGACAAAGGGAAUCUAACUGUUUAAUUAAAACAAAGCAUUAUGAUGGUCCUGGUAGAUGCUUACGUAAUGUGAUAUCUACCCAGUGCUCUAAAUGUCAAAUUAAUGAAAUUCAACCAAGCACGAGUAAACUGUGAAAUUACCUAUGACUCUGUUAAGAUAGCCAAAUGCCUCAUCAUCUAAUUAGUGACGUGCAUGAAUGAAUUAAUGAGAUUCACACUGUCAUUGUCUAUUAUCCAGUGAAACCAUAGCCAAAGGAAUGGGCUUGGCAAAAUCAAUGGGGAAAGAAGACCCUGUUAAGCUUGACCCUAGUCCAAUUUUGUGAAAUGACUUGAAAGGUCUAGGAUAAGUGGGAACCUUCAGGUGAAAUUGGAAUACCACUACUUUUAACAUCGUUUUACUUAUUUCAUGAAUUAGAGUUGAGGCACAUGACCCUUUUUUUUGGACCAAGGCUAGCCUCAAUCAAUCGAUUUGAAUGGAAGACAUUGUCAGGUAAGAGUUUGGCUAGUGCAGCACAUCUGUUAAAAGAUAAUGUAGGUGUCCUAAGAUGACCUUAAUGAGAAUAGAAAUCUCAUGUGGAAUAAAAGGGUAAAAUGUCAUUUGAUUUUGAUUUCCAAUAUGAAUACAAACAGUGAAAGCAUGGCCUAUCGAUCUUUUAGACCUUUGCAAUUUAAAACUAGAAGUGUCAAAAAAGUUACCGCAGGGAUAACUAGCUUAUGGCAACCAACUAUUCAUAGCGAUGUUGCUUUUUUAUCCUUCGAUGUUAACUCUUUUUGUCAUUAUGAAGCAAAUUCACCAAGUGUUGGAUUGUUCACCCACCAAUAGGGAACAUGAGAUAGGUUUAGACCAUUGUGAAACAGGUUAGUUUUACACUACUGAUUGUAGCUUCGUAAUAGUAAUUCAACCUAGUAUGAGAAGAACUACUGAUUCGCACAAUUAGCCAUUAUGCUUAGUUGGAAAGCUAUUGGCAUGAAGCUGCCAUGUGCUGGAUUAUAACUAAAUGCCUUUAAGUUAGAAUCUGAGUUAAAAGUGAUGUAUGCACCCACCACCUGAUUGCCAACCUACAAUAGGGGCCUAUGGCCCUCAAUUGCAUGUGUCAUAGGUGUAACCCCCAUGGCAAAUAAGCCACCCGUGCCUUCUUG